AUAUCAAUAAGCGGAGGAAAAGAAACCAACAGGGAUUGCCCUAGUAACGGCGAGUGAAGCGGCAACAGCUCAAAUUUGAAAUCUGGCGUCCUUUGGGCGUCCGAGUUGUAAUUUGCAGAGGAUGCUUCUGGGUAGUCAUCAGUCUAAGUUCCUUGGAACAGGACGUCAUAGAGGGUGAGAAUCCCGUAUGUGACUGACAGGCGCCCUCUACGUAGCUCCUUCGAAGAGUCGAGUUGUUUGGGAAUGCAGCUCUAAAUGGGAGGUAAAUUUCUUCUAAAGCUAAAUAUCUGCCAGAGACCGAUAGCGCACAAGUA
rnacentral:rRNA from 1 species